rnacentral:rRNA from 1 species
UACGUAGGGUGCAAGCGUUGUCCGGAAUUAUUGGGCGUAAAGAGCUCGUAGGCGGUCCCGUCACGUCGGCUGUGAAAACCCGGGGCUCAACUCCGGGCCUGCAGUCGAUACGGGCGGACUAGAGUACUGCAGGGGAGACUGGAAUUCCUGGUGUAGCGGUGAAAUGCGCAGAUAUCAGGAGGAACACCGGUGGCGAAGGCGGGUCUCUGGGCAGUAACUGACGCUGAGGAGCGAAAGCGUGGGGAGCGAACAGG